rnacentral:rRNA from 1 species
AAUGAACGCUGGCGGCGCGCCUAAUACAUGCAAGUCGAGCGAGAAGACGUAGCAAUACGUUUGUAAAGCGGCGAACGGGUGAGGAAUACAUGGGUAACCUACCCUCGAGUGGGGAAUAACUAGCCGAAAGGUUAGCUAAUACCGCGUACGCUCCUUGGACUUCGGUUCAGGGAGGAAAGCGAUACCGUGGGUAUCGCGCUCUUGGUUGGGCUCAUGUCCUAUCAGCUUGUUGGUGAGGUAACGGCUCACCAAGGCUUCGACGGGUAGCUGGUCUGAGAGGACGAUCAGCCACACUGGCACUGCGACACGGGCCAGACUCCUACGGGAGGCAGCAGUAAGGAAUAUUGCGCAAUGGGCGAAAGCCUGACGCAGCGACGCCGCGUGGGGGAUGAAGGUCUUCGGAUUGUAAACCCCUUUCGGGAGGAAAGAUGGAACGAGCAAUCGUUCGGACGGUACCUCCAGAAGCAGCCACGGCUAACUUCGUGCCA